AUGAUGUGCAGUUUCAGUACUACUAGGUGUGAGGAGGAGGAGGUUAGCCUUGAUGGUCAGGUGGUACCUCGGAAGGACACCUUUCAGUAUUUGGGGUCAAUGCUGCAGGAGGAUGGGGGUAUUGAUGAAGAUGUGAACCAUCGGAUCAAAGCCGGAUGGAUGAAGUGGCGCCAAGCUUCUGGCAUUCUCUGUGACAAGAGAGUGCCACAAAAGCUAAAAGGCAAGUUCUACAGGACGGCGGUUCGACCCGCAAUGUUGUAUGGCGCUGAGUGUUGGCCGACUAAAAGGCGACAUGUUCAACAGUUAGGUGUGGCGGAGAUGCGUAUGUUGAGAUGGAUGUGUGGCCACACGAGGAAGGAUCGAGUCCGGAAUGAUGAUAUACGAGAUAGAGUUGGGGUAGCACCAAUUGAAGAGAAGCUUGUCCAACAUCGUCUGAGAUGGUUUGGGCAUAUCCAGCGCAGGCCUCCAGAAGCUCCAGUGAAGAUGCUACAAAAAGAGACACAUCCGUGA
rnacentral:rRNA from 1 species